rnacentral:misc_RNA from 1 species
UUGACUCGAUAUGAUUCCUUUCGUUUGUUUUAUACCUAGAUUUUGUGACAGUUUUUGAUUUGUAUGUGUACAUUUAAAAAGUUGGCGAAAAUAUUAGUAUUACGAUCAAUGAACCGGUUCUAUAAUCAAAAAACGUCUCGUUUCGGUCACUAACAGUUUUUUUGAACGAAGGAACCGGGAAAGUUUCAGUAAUUAAGUAUAAUAAAGUUUUUUUUUUGAUAAUAUUCAAUGCAUGCAUGCAUACGUUUAUGAUGAUCGUUCAGCCUUUUUUCAAUAAAAUGUACAAGUUUACUUUGUAAAUAUUAAACAUGACUGCCAGUUG